CAGACCUGGGUGGUCCCAGGACUCCAGGGCCUGCAGUGGUGGGGUAGGGUGGGGUGGGGGCACUGCAGAGCUUCCCAAGGAAGUCAGGCGACCUCGCCUCCGGAUAUUCAGAAGUGCUAGUCCACUUCUGGCAGCCUGAACUCUUCCUCCUUUUUUUGAAAUCCGAGAAUACUCUUCCUUCCAGGGAGAGAAACUGACCUGUAAUCCCAGCUACUCAGGAGGCUGAAGCAGGAGAAUCGCUUGAACCUGGGAGUCAGAGGCUGCAGUGAAGCGAGAUCGCAACAUUGCAUUCCAGCCUGAAGUGCUGCUGUAGGUACUAUGGCUCCUGAAGUUGCUUUCCCUGCAGUAACUGGAGUCCUCCUCGUCGUCUUCCAGCUCCUCCGGUGCGUGUGCUAAGCUCAGGUCUGAGCACUGGCGGAUCCCAUGGGUGUGGCUCUGAGGAAAUUGACGCAGUGGACUGCUGCCGGACAUGGAACUGGAAUCCUCGAAAUCACCCCUCUAAAUGAAGUGAUAUUGAAAGAAAUUAUUGUUUGUGGAGAAUUUUAUCUAUAAACAUCCCCAAGAGGCAAAAUUUGUUUUUGUGGAACCACUUGAGUGGAACACAAGUUUGGCGCCCUCCGCAUUUGAAUCAGGUUAUGUUAGCAAAGGCUCAGCAAAAGAAAUCCAAGAGGACAAACACACAGGAAAACUUGAAAAACCAAGACCAUCUGUUUCACACGGAAGAGCACAAUUACUUCGGAAGAGUGCUGAAAAGAUUGAGGAAACUGUUAGCGAUAGCUCCUCAGAAAGUGAGGAAGAUGAAGAACCACCUGACCAUCGUCAGGAAGCAAGUGCAGAUUUGCCAUCAGAAUAUUGGCAAAUUCAGAAGCUGGUGAAAUAUUUAAAGGAAGUUCUAGAAGAUAUUUUGGACCUUGAUUUAUCUGUCUCAGAAACAGACGAUUUUAUCCAGCUUGUAAGUGGCGAAAAGACAGUGUUUGGAUCCAUUCCACUGGCUCAUCCAUAUGGGGGCCAGCAGAAAUUAGACAUCUUCUGCAUCAUGGAUAAGCUCAUUGAGAUCUAUGACUUUGCCUAAUAAUUAUAAUAAAAUUAUUCUAAGCCUGCAUCUCCAACCAGAUUUCUAUCUCCAGCUAGAAAUGCCUAUAAUCCAAUUACCUACUGAAAAUAUCCC
rnacentral:lncRNA from 1 species